AGCAACAUAAAAUAUUAUUAUAUUAUAAAUACAAAACAAACGCGUAACAAAAAUGUCAUCAUUUUUAAACAAUAUUUUGUAAAUUGUAUUUUUAUAAUUAUAUUAUAAUAGUAUUCAUAAUAAUAUCAAUUGUUUAUAAUAAUAAUUUAAUGAUCGUAAAUUUCCAUUAAAUUAAAUGACCUUUGCGGGUUCAAUACGCGAAUAAUAUGUUUUUUAUUAUCGUAUAUAAUUAAUAAUUGCAGGUUUACAGUCUGUAACCUAUUUAUAUAUAUAUAUAUAUAUAAUUAUAAUAUUAAAAUACAAUACAAUAGUAAUUAUUAUUAUGUUAGUACGGCGUCCACGACGGAUAGGGGUAAUAGUUAUAAUAACAUAAUGUUCAUACACAAUAAUAAUAAUAAUAAUAUAUAAUAAUGACAUACAUAAUAUAGUAGUACGUUUCCAAUAAUUUGUAUAACACCUGUGUCGUGUUAACAAUAUAAAUGUACAUAUAUCCGUUAAUUUAACAAUUAUUAUUAGGCAGGCAUCCAUCGCGGUACGCGGUUUUAUCGUCAGGGGUGGUCGUGGGUAGGCAUAAAACGUUAAUUUCGGGGGAAUAAACCCAAAACAAAAAAACCGGAAUAAAACCGCGUUGAAAACGGUCCCGAAUCAAUCGAUUGCGUUUCGAAUUCAAUCAGUUCCGCGGCCGCGUGACAGAAUAACGGUGUAGGUAAUAAUAUAAUAAUAGGUAACAUAAUAAUAUAACACGAGGUGCCUCUAGACAAUAAUGGUAAUAUAUUAAUACUAUUGUACAUUUGUACCGGAAUAAGUGUCGCCUGACCAGGUGGCGCGCGAAUAAUGAUCGCGGAAAUUUAAUCGUUUUAUUAUGUGUAUAUUUGCGUGGUUUUUUUUUUUUACCAUCGAGUCAUAACCCAAAUGAGCGUACGACCUGUGGCGUUUCUCGCGUACGGAAUUUCCGCUGAAAACGCGCUCGGCGUGCGGACCACCGCCGACAAGAGCCGCAGGCCGUUCACUCGCACAGACAUGGACGAUCAACUAGAUUGCCAACGGCGUUCGAUUCGAGGACCCCUCCCACCCCUCGCCCGUCGAAACGAUAUACUUUUGUACCGCGAUAACGGUCGGAUAUGUGGUUUUUUUUUUUAAAUUUUUUUUACCGCCGUUACCGCGGCGACCGCAGUUGUCCCCGGUAUAAAAUCGUACGCGAAAACGCUCGCGGACGGUCUCGAAUCCAACGGCGGACCGUAACUCCGCGUCGUCUUAUGGUCAGUCGGCAAUCUGGCCUAUUGUAAUCGGGUCCGCGUCGUCGCCCGGGAACGCGGCGUGAAUACUAUCGACCGCGCUGUAUUUUUGUUAUUGUUUUGGCGGUGGGGGCGGUGUAGGGGGGGGGAUAAUUUCCCGGAAGAUAACACCGUUGACCGUUGAUAGUUUCGACCGCGCGGUAUUCGGACCCGCGGUGCCGUUAUCGCCACUCCCGAGUCCACUCCGCGCGAUGACACACGGCAUUAUUGUUGUAUCGCGUAAUAUUGCUGUUACUGUGUAAGGUCGCCCCGCGAUCGAGGAUGUUAUUAUUGUUGUUGUUGUUGUUGUUGUUGUUGUUGUCGUUGUCGUUUGUUUCGCGCGACGGCGGUACGGAGGCCGCGCGCGACGCAAUGACGUAUCGUUAUAAUAUUAUAUAUUGUUGUACACGACGAGACGAUGACGGUAAUACCGGAGAGAUGAUUUAUUACGUCGCCCGUAACAAUAUCGUCGGAAACAUAACGAAUUUACGGUAUCGCGGAUAGGUAUCUGCCCGGAGAUAGGUAUGUCCCGCCUAUAUACGUACACCAACAACGUCCGCCCGCCGACCGCCUUGUGGCUCGGAGGACGGGCCGUCCUCGUAGCCGCCGCGACCGUAAUACGAUACCCGGCCGAUACCGUUGUAAAAAUGUCACGAGACCGAUAAUUAUUAUUGCGGGUACACGGGUGUAUUAAAUAAUAAUAACGUGUUCUUUCCGCAUAAUAAACAUGUAUAUUACCUACGGGGAGUUUGGGUACAUGUUAACAUGUAAAAAAAAAAAACAAAAACAAAAACAAAACAAUACACAACUCGUUAAUAAUUAUCAUUAUUAUGAGGUACCUGUACUGAAAAAAAAAAAAAACAAAUCGUUAUUAUUAUACGGUAUAUUCUUCGACAAUAUCGCAAAAUACGGUGAAAUAUUGUUAUAAUAGUUAUAAUACACAAGAAACGACAAAGUGGAUAGCGGCGUUUGGUUUACCAAUACGAGCACAACGAGCGGGUCGCACCAUCAGUGUGCAAGCGAACUGUGUUCCUGAAUCCUUAUUAUUAUUAUUAUUAUUUUUUUUUUUAAUACUGUCGUGAUUUAUGCUGUUAUUAUUAAAUCGUCAGUUAACAUAGUAAACUUAUCGUACCGAAACAGAUAGAUAGGUAGCUGAGAACGAAAUGCGGCCUUCAAGCACUGGAUUUAAUAAGAUGAAUAUUUAUUGAUAACGUCAAUGGACGUCGUACACAAUUUGACCGCAAAAUGAAAUGCUGCCUUCUUGUAACAAAACGCUGACAAAUUUACACUGUCAGUGAAAUAUAAGCACUAAGUACAAUAGUUAGACAAAAAUUCUCAUGAACAAUUUACAAUUUUUGAUACACGGCCCCGAUACGGAAAUGGUACGAGAUGAUCGAAGCGACGUAUUUUAUAGGGGGGGGGGGGGCGGGNNNNNNNNNNNNNNNNNNNNNNNNNNNNNNNNNNNNNNNUUUUUUUUUUUUUUUUUUUUUUUUUUUUUAAUACCGACCCCAUUGCGCAGGUUAAAUUCGCUCUUCGAGUUCUAAAAAUAAUGUGUUUUAGCGUUCAAAAUGUACAGCUCGAAAUGUCAGUAUGAUGUAAAACAAAAUACGUGUUUUUACGAAAAGGCGUUGAAAAAAUGUAAAUACGUCUCCGAUUAAAAAUAUCGAAUAAUAAAUUGUUGCCGUUUUCGGAGACUUAUCGGACGUAAACGAGUACGACGAGAGCCGUUAUAAAACCGCAGCCGAGUAUAUUAUAAACGAGCAGAGUUUAAAUUAUUAUUAUAAUGUAGUACAACGUAUAGGUGUAAAACAUUAUGCGGUGUACAAUGUUAUAUUAUGUCCAUAAAUUAUAAUUUCUUCAACUUAAGCUCUUAGUAAGGAGAAAAUAUCAUUAUCAUUAUUAUUAUUAUUAUUAUAUUAUCAUUUAGUGUAAAAACCGAGAAAAUAUUAUAACAAUUAUAUUAUACACGUCCGUUGUUUUUAAUGCCGCUCGUCUGUUAAUUAUUUCGUAUUUGCGUAAGUAUUUAAUUAAUAAUUAUUUACAAAUUACCCGUUUUUUCGCAUACACACACACACACACACACACACACACACACACACACGCGCGCGCGCGCGCGCGCGUUUUUAGCGCGUUUGUUUUAAUUACCAGCUGCAGCCUACUCGCGGUUCGCGGGAAAUAUUAUUAUUAUAGUUUACCUACGUACUCGCGCAGUCUUUAAAUUUACCAUACGAAUUCGUUAGUUCGCGACCGACGCGCUCGGGAUUCGGCUAUAAUUAUUAUAGCGGUCGGGUAUUUAUCUACAGGGUCUCCACCGUGUUUUCCCGGCGCCCAUAACACUACGACGAUAUCGUUAUCGUUAAUGUUCGAUUUGUUUUGGUUGUACAGUUUUUAUUUUCACCCCUUUAAUCACCCGUAGGAAACAAAAAUUGUGUUCGGUGGUGUUAUUUCUAUAUUAUGUUCAAUUUAGCCGAUUCGUGAUUGACGUUAUACUAAUAGUCACCUAUCACCUAAUAAUAAAACCGACGUUUCCGUAACCAAAAGGUUUUUACCGGGCUGCACCCAGGUAGAAAUUAAAACGAUCACUUACAACUAAACAAUUUGUAUUGGACAUGUACUCAAUGCGUACGAUAUAUUCAAUGAUUACGGUGUUAAAAUACAAAUUAAAUUAAAUUAUCUUUAUUUUCUAACCUAACCGUACACGAAUUCCGAUUGGAAAAACGAAACAAUCGAAAUAUUAACAGAGUUAUUAAAAUGGGAAUGUUUUUAUCUUUCGUCUAAGUGUAUCAAAUCUAGAUAACAGUUUAAUUUACCUGGAUUUUAGGUAAACGAUAAAUAAUUUAUCCAAAAUAACGGAUAAUUAAAUCAUCUACCUUUAACGUUCUGUUAGUAAAUCAUAGAUUUAAAUCGUGA
rnacentral:lncRNA from 1 species